GACGAACGCUGGCGGCGUGCUUAACACAUGCAAGUCGAACGGUAAGGCCCUUCGGGGUACACGAGUGGCGAACGGGUGAGUAACACGUGGGUGAUCUGCCAUGCACUUCGGGAUAAGCCUGGGAAACUGGGUCUAAUACCGGAUAGGACUCCGGACUGCAUGGUCUGGGGUGGAAAGCUUUUGCGGUGUGGGAUGGGCCCGCGGCCUAUCAGCUUGUUGGUGGGGUGAUGGCCUACCAAGGCGACGACGGGUAGCCGGCCUGAGAGGGUGACCGGCCACGCUGGGACUGAGAUACGGCCCAGACUCCUACGGGAGGCAGCAGUGGGGAAUAUUGCACAAUGGGCGCAAGCCUGAUGCAGCGACGCCGCGUGAGGGAUGACGGCCUUCGGGUUGUAAACCUCUUUCAGCAUCGACGAAGCGAAAGUGACGGUAGGUGCAGAAGAAGGACCGGCCAACUACGUGCCAGCCGCCGCGGUAA
rnacentral:rRNA from 1 species